rnacentral:rRNA from 1 species
UACGUAGGGCGCAAGCGUUGUCCGGAAUUAUUGGGCGUAAAGAGCGUGUAGGCGGUCAGAUAGGUCCGUUGUGAAAACUCGAGGCUCAACCUCGAGACGCCGAUGGAAACCAUCUGACUAGAGUCCGGAAGAGGAGAGUGGAAUUCCUGGUGUAGCGGUGAAAUGCGCAGAUAUCAGGAAGAACACCCGUGGCUAAGGCGGCUCUCUAGUACGGUACUGACGCUGAGACGCGAAAGCGUGGGGAGCGAACAGG